AAAUAAUCAGUUAGCGGAAAGGUGUGGGAAAGCCUGCCAAAGAGGUGAUAGCCCCGUAUGCGAAAACUGAUUAUCUUCCGCCGUGUUCCUGAGUACUGCCGUGCACGCUAAUACGGCAGGAAUCUAGGGAGUCCACUCUCUAAGGCUAAAUACACUUGGCGACCGAUAGUGAACUAGUACCGUGAGGGAAAGGUGAAAAGUCCCCCUGUUAGGGGAGUGAAAUAGAACCUGAAACCAUAAGCUUACAAGCAGUUGGAGGGCUAACAGCAAGUUGAGCCCCUAGAAAUAGGGACGUUCCUUGCUAUGCCUGACAGCGUGCCUCUUGGAGAAUGAGCCUGCGAGUUAAUCUCAGUGGCGAGGUUAAGGGAGUAACACCCGAAGCCGUAGCGAAAGCGAGUCUUAAUAGGGCGUAUAGUCGCUGGGAUUAGGCCCGAAACCGUGUGAGCUACCCAUGGGCAGGGUGAAGCGAGUCUAAUCACUCGUGGAGGC
rnacentral:rRNA from 1 species